rnacentral:rRNA from 1 species
GACGUAGGGUGCGAGCGUUGUCCGGAUUUAUUGGGCGUAAAGAGCGUGUAGGCGGCCUGACAGGUCUGCUGUGAAAACUCGAGGCUCAACCUCGAGAUGUCGGCGGAAACCGUCUGGCUAGAGUCCGGAAGAGGAGAGUGGAAUUCCUGGUGUAGCGGUGAAAUGCGCAGAUAUCAGGAAGAACACCUAUGGCGAAGGCAGCUCUCUGGGACGGUACUGACGCUGAGGAGCGAAAGCGUGGGUAGCAAACAGG